GACGAACGCUGGCGGCGCGCUUAACACAUGCAAGUCGAACGGAAAGGCCUGCUUUCCCUUGUGGAUUGCGGGUACUCGAGUGGCGAACGGGUGAGUAACACGUGAGUGAUCUGCCCCCAACUUGGGUAUAAGCCUGGGAAACUGGGUCUAAUUCCCGAUAGGACUGCAGGGUGGUGCCUGUGGUGGAAAACGAUUUUCUAGUGGUUGGGGAUGAGCUCGCGGCCUAUCAGCUUGUUGGUGGGGUAAUGGCCUACCAAGGCGGCGACGGGUAGCCGGCCUGAGAGGGUGGACGGCCACAUUGGGACUGAGAUACGGCCCAGACUCGUACGGGAGGCAGGAGUGGGGAAUAUUGCACAAUGGGCGGAAGCCUGAUGCAGCGACGCCGCGUGGGGGAUGACGGCCUUCGGGUUGUAAACUCCUUUCGACCGCGAGGAAGCCACCUGGUUGGAAGGGUGGUGACGGUAGUGGUAGAAGAAGCACCGGCUAACUACGUG
rnacentral:rRNA from 1 species